rnacentral:rRNA from 1 species
UACGAAGGGUGCAAACGUUGCUCGGAAUUAUUGGGCGUAAAGCGCACGUAGGCGGCUUUGUAAGUUGGAUGUGAAAGCCCUCGGCUCAACCAAGGAAGUGCAUCCAAAACUACAAAGCUUGAGUACUUAAGAGGAUCGCGGAAUUCCUGGUGUAGCGGUGAAAUGCGCAGAUAUCAGGAGGAACACCGAUGGCGAAGGCAGGUCGUCUGGGCCACGUACUGACGCUGAGAGCGAAAGCAUGGGGAGCGAACAGGA